rnacentral:lncRNA from 1 species
UGGUAGUUCGGGCCUGUCACCCCAUGCUUUGGGGGGCAGGAGUUGACUGAGGUGGCGUUUAUACAGGGCCCGUUUGUUCACGGGUUGUUUCAGUCCUGCGCUUGAAAAGUGCAGCAUUGCUAACCUAAGGGCCGUUGUGCGUGCCGGAGGUGUCGAGGAUGGUGGCCCUUUGAGGCCGGGCAACCCCGGCCUGCAACCACCAUGGCCUGCCUGUCAAAAGCGCGCCCCUAUGUCAGCUCCUUA